GUUUUAAAAAAUUUAAUUACCGACCUACGAAAUUAUAUUUAUUUACAUAUAUAUAUAAUAAUUAUGUCCUAGUACAAAAGAUAGUCCACAUUUUGGUAUCUUCACGGAGGUCGAUGAACAUGGUGAACAUGUUGUUCUCGAGUCCGCCAAGGUUAUGAUGGUUACGGUGGUCGCGAUCCAUCUCUCUAUCUCUUCUCGAGUCCUCUGCUUUAGAUCUUGGUUAUUGUGAUAUGGAUUCAACAAUGCUGGCUUGCAUUGCGUUCUCCUGCCCCAAUCUGGAAACCAUGGAGAUCUCUAUGUCAGAGUCAUCAAUUAACCGUAUAUCUGGGUGGCUGUUGGAAGAUGUUAUCUAUAUGCAAGGCUGCUGCUGCCUCGCCAAGGCUCGCUGCUGCAGUUGCUGCCUCGCCACGUGUUACAUUGGUGAUUUUGUGUGACUUGUAUUUAACAGUGACUUGUAUUUUUUUUUUUUUUGGGACCAAAAUUGUAAUAUUACAGCCUUAUUUUAAUGAAAAUAUGUAAG